rnacentral:rRNA from 1 species
GGUGACUUCUGGCAGUGGGCGUUGGUAGGAGGUGGGGGUCGGGCGUUUUCGGGAAGUAGUGGUCGUAAGGAGCUUGUGGGGGGUUGUGUGCGGCGGCUGUGAAAAUCCGGGUGUCAACCCCGGACUUGCAGUGGGGACGGGCAGACUAGAGUGGGGUAGGGGAGACUGGAAUUCCUGGUGUAGCGGUGAAAUGCGCAGAUAUCAGGAGGAACACCGAUGGCGAAGGCAGGUCGCUGGGCCACUACUGACGCUGAGAAGCGAAAGCGUGGGGAGCGAACAGGAUUAGAUACCCGAGUAGUC